rnacentral:rRNA from 1 species
AUUGAACGCUGGCGGCAGGCCUAACACAUGCAAGUCGAGCGAGCGGCGGACGGGUGAGUAAUGUCUGGGGAUCUGCCCGAUAGAGGGGGAUAACUACUGGAAACGGUGGCUAAUACCGCAUACUAUCGGAUGAACCCAUAUGGGAUUAGCUAGUAGGUGGGGUAAAGGCUCACCUAGGCGAUGAUCUCUAGCUGGUCUGAGAGGAUGAUCAGCCAAAAUGGGCGUGAGACAGGACCAGGAACCCUAGGGGGGGAAGCAGGGGGAAUAUUGCACAAUGGGCGCAAGCCUGAUGCAGCCAGGCCGCGUGUAUGAAGAAGGCCUUAGGGUUGUAAAGUACUUUCAGCGGGGAGGCGUUACCCGCAGAAGAAGCACCGGCUAACUCCGUGCCAGCAGCCGCGGUAAUAC